GACGAACGCUGGCGGCGUGCUUAACACAUGCAAGUCGAACGAAGUGGCGAACGGGUGAGUAACGCGUAAUCAACCUGCCCUUCAGAGGGGGACAACAGUUGGAAACGACUGCUAAUACCGCAUACUGACGGUGGGGAUUGCGUCUGAUUAGUUAGUUGGAGGGGUAACGGCCCCCCAGGGCGAUGAUCAGGAGCCGGACUGAGAGGGUGAACGGCCACAUUGGGACUGAGACACGGCCCAGACGCCUACGGGAGGCAGCAGUGGGUAAUCUUCCGACAUGGACGAAAGUCUGACGGAGCAACGCGGCGUGAGUGAUGACGGCCUUCGGGUUGUAAAGCUCUGUUAAUCGGGACGCGGUACCGGAAUAGAAAGCCACGGCUAACUACGUGCCAGCAGCCGCGGUAAUUC
rnacentral:rRNA from 1 species